rnacentral:rRNA from 1 species
UACGAAGGGGGCAAGCGUUGCUCGGAAUUAUUGGGCGUAAAGGGUUGGUAGGUGGUCUUGUUUGUCUAAGGUGAAAUCCCAUGGCUUAACUGUGGAAGUGCCUUAGAAACGGCAAGACUAGAGUCCUAGAGGGGUUUGUGGAAUUCCCGGUGUAGCGGUGAAAUGCGUAGAGAUCGGGAGGAACACCAGCGGCGAAGGCGGCAAACUGGAUAGGCACUGACACUCAACAACGAAAGCGUGGGGAGCAAACAGG